rnacentral:ncRNA from 1 species
CCAAAGUUUGAUUCUGUCUUAUGAAAUUUAUUUCAUAAUGAUUGUACAUGUAAAUUUUUGUAUGAUUUCAGAUAUCCUAAAUGGUGGGAUUGAUUACUCGCAGUUUUUUAUUUUAAUAUCUUGGAUAGUUCCAGAAUUAGUUAAUUAUAGAAGUUUUGACCAAAAUUGUGCCAGCAGUCGCGGCUAUACAAUGGAAGCAAAUGAAUUUUUUUGGGUUGUAUUUAAUUUAAUUUGGAAUAUUUAAUUUUUGAAUUUUUAGGUGAAAUUAAGAUUUGAUAUAGAAUAUGUUUUAUGAUUAAAUAUGAAAAUUCAACAUGAAACUAGGAUUAGAUACCCUAUUAUUAUGAAUUGUAAAUUUAAUAACCUUAGUAUUAAUAGUUGUAGUCUUUAAAUUAAAAGAAUUUGGCGGUAAUUUAGUCUUUUCAGAGGAACCUGCCCUGUAAUUGAUAAUCCACGAUGAAUUUCACUUUAUCUUUGUUUGUAUACCUCUGUCAUUGAAUGUUUUAUUAGGAUAAUUUUCUUUAAUUUUUAUUGAAGUUAAUGUCAGGUCAAGGUGCAGCUAUGGUAAAGAAGAGGUGGGUUACAUUAAAUUUAUUUAUGGAGAUAAUUAUGUAAAUGUUAUUGAAAUAGGAUUUGAAAGUAAGUUCCAUUAGAAUAUGGAGUUGAUUUUAGCUCUAAAUUAUGUACACAUCGCCCGUCGCUCUCAUUUAAUUAAGAUGAGAUAAGUCGUAACAAAGUAGGUUUAUCGGAAGAUGUACCUAGAAAGUU